rnacentral:misc_RNA from 1 species
AACGCAACUUGCGCCCUCUGGUAUUCCGGAGGGCAUGCCUGUUUGAGUGUCAUGAAGACUCAUCCCUUCGGGUUUCCGAAUGAGAUGGAUUUGGGCGUUUUUGCCAGACAGCUUCGGCUUGAUGGCUCGCCUUAAAUGUAGUGUGAGUCGGAACGUAAUAUGUUUCGCUCUGAGACUCAGCGCUCCUGUGAGCCACCCCAACUUUAUGAUCUGACCUCAAAUCAGGUAGGGCUACCCGCUGAACUUAA